AGAAAUAGUGGAAGAAGGGAAGAUCAUUGCAGACUGGCAGUAUUAGAUACAGGACUUUGAAGUGGAUCUUGAAAGAUUAGUCGAAUUUCUGAAUAUUCAACCUCUUUUAGCUCAAGGGUGGCUGACUUGGGGAAUUUUCCACCUCCAUGCAAAGCUGCCUUUGCUACGUAAAUGUCGAAAAAUGGUUGGAAUUAGAUCCUUGAUCUAGAGCUGUAAAUCCCUGAAUAGGCAGAGAGGGCAUUAAAAAAAUGGAGUAGUAAACAGAAGUUUAGAUAUCAAGUUAUGGUAUGAAUCUCACCUAUUUGGAGAGCAUUGAAGACGUUGACCACACUAGAUUUAAAGCUUUUCUGCAAUUAGAUAAAAAAGGAGCACAAAAGCAUCACUUUGAUCAGCCUUCAGUAGCACCCGGGAAAAACUACUCUUUCACAAGAGAAGAGGUGAGACAGAUCGAUCGGGAAAAUCAGAGGCUUUUGAAAGAACUGUCAAGACAGGCGGAAAAGCCAGGAAGCAAAAGUACAAUUCCUAGAUCAGCUGAUCAUCCCCCAAAGUUAUAUCACAGUGCUCUCAACAGACAGAAGGAACAACAAAGGAUUG
rnacentral:sRNA from 1 species